UCCUUCCUUAAAACCCUAUAAAACCUCUGUGGAGGAAGUUCGAUCUCCCUUCGUUUUUUUUUUUUUCCCGGCUUCUAUCUUAUACUUCGUGCAAUGGCUUCUAGAAUCAUGAGCAGAUCCUCCGUCUCGUCUCUCAGAUCGGCCAUCAGAUCUUCGCUUCGUAAUUCCCCUGUUGGCACAGGAUCUUCACCGGCUGCUUCAUCCGCCGGAUUUCGUAUCCCGUCUAAACCCGCUGCUUCUCCUCUUCCACGCUUCUCUUUCUCGAGGUGCCCAUCUGAGCUUGGUUGUGUUCAGUCUUUGUUACCACUUCACAGCACAGUAGCGGCUGCUCGGUUGACGUCUUGCCUUAGCACAACUUCCAGAAGCAGCCGAGCUCUCUCUCAGGGUACUCUCUGCUGCACCUCUCCCGACCUCUAAUUCUCUUUUCUGCUUUCUUUCUUGCACAUAAUUUCACCGUUACCAUGUGGGAUCCUUGCAUCUUUAUCAAAGAUGGGCCUUUCAGUCCCAAGGUGACCUGAUACAUUCAUGAAGAGUAUUACUAUUGAGGGAGGGAAGUUCUUCUCGUAAACUUAAAGACAAGUUCUUUGUUUGUUACUCCAAACUUAUGUUCUUUGAUUAAUGAAGAAAAAAAUGUAAUGCAAUUUCAACUUUUUA